rnacentral:rRNA from 1 species
UGGUGGAGCGAUUUGUCUGGUUAAUUCCGAUAACGAACGAGACUCUAGCCUAUUAAAUAGUUCGCCGGUCACGUUACGUCGGCGUCAACUUCUUAGAGGGACAAGUGGCGUUUAGCCACGCGAGAUUGAGCAAUAGCA